AUGACCUGGCACCACUGUGGAAAGCCUGAACACAGAGAGAAGGAUGGACACUCAACUGUAAACACACACUACCCUGUGAUGUUGGAGGGACAAGCAGACAACAGAUGGAAGAUGGACGAAUGGCCUGUGACAAACCAACAGCUCCAGAGAGCAAUCAGAGGGCAUCUGCAGGGACCAGAGAACGACACAAGACAAAGAGAGGAACAAGAGGGUGACGACGUUUCUUUCUUUCUCUCCACAAUGUAGACUAGAGACAGCUGAAGGGGAUGUAGAAUAUUGCAACGAUCCCUGAGUUGAAGAGGUACUUACUUACUUGGCCAUCAUUGGUUAGUUCAUCCUAGUGUUGCAUGACCUUCUCUGCAAAUGUACUGUACACAUCUCCGAUAACAUGCUCAUAAUUGUAAAAGAAGUGUAUCAUGUUUCAAACGUUUGCCUACACUGAUGUUCUCUAGAAAAAAAAGGAAUAAAUGGUUAGAGUUGUUAAGAACUUCUUCAUGAAUGCAUCUUCUUACCACGUUUUCUUUUGCCGUGCCUGUUCACCUUCGGAUAAGCCAAAGUAGACUGCAGUUGCUUUUUUCUCUCAACAUUAUUAUUUAAUUUUAUUUGAUACUUUGAUAUUUAAGUUUCAACAGUCCGUCCAACUUCACUUCAAAGAACUCUCAUGUCUAGAACUUUCCUGCAUAUUUUAUUUCGAGCUUAAUUUUUUUCAGAAGGCAAAAUGUUUGUGGCUGGUCAACAUCCUGUUUACAUGUCAGUAGUUAUCUACUGAAGCAUAUCCCUGAUUCCCUAGCUCAUGAAAAGGUAAACAAAUCACCAAAACUUUGAACGUCAUAGAACCAACCAAGCACAGCAACCUCCUUAAAACCAAAUGAUAACUCAUAAUUUGAUGAUCUAAGGUUUGAUACUAAAUCUUAAAUAUUUAUAGAUGCCUUUAAUUUGAAAAUAUGUAAGUUUUAAUAUGUUACCAAGCACUGGUUCAGACACUUAACCAUCUAUUAUGCAUCAACAGCUACUGGAGCUGUUAAGAUUAGUAUAGAUAUUUAUCUGAUUUGUCUACCAAUGGACAUUAUGUCUGAAAAGUCAUGAAACUGUCUUAAAGGAAAGUUCUCCAUCAAACUCACAAAAGGGAUGUUAGGCUAAGGGAUGUUGGGGAGGCAGGUAGCCUAGUGGUUAGAGCGUUGGACAAGUAACCCGAAAGGUUGCAAGAUCGAAUCCCCGAGCUGACAAGGUACAAAUCUGUCGUUCUGCCCCUGAACAAGGCAGUUAACCCACUGUUCCUAGGCUGUCAUUGAAAAUAAGAGUUUGUUCUUAACUGACUUGCCUAGUUAAAUAAAGGUUAAAUAAAAUGCUAAAGCUACCAAAAUAAAUAUUUGCCUGUGUGUAACAAUUCUGAAUAUAGAUAGGCUAGUUAUUACAAUAUACCUGUCAAAAACAAUGCCUUCCACAGUCUUCUCAAGGCUUUUGAUUCUGCUGUUAUUCAAUAUUAUUAUUGUUAUAUUAUCAUUAUUAUUAAUUUCUUCCUUUUUGGCUUUAAGUUGCAAAGGUUCCUCUACCUGUUCGUUCACAAUCUUUUGUUUGUUUUUUAAAGGAUGUUAAGUAACUUAUUUCGCUUGUACAAACAUGUCGAUAUUUAUUAUCAUUGUACAUAUGUCCUUAUUUUUUAUAUGUGUAUAUAUACAUGAAUAAAAGUAGAGAUCUACCCAAAGU
ensembl:lncRNA